rnacentral:pre_miRNA from 1 species
GAGACACCCUUCUGGGGCAAGACUUGCUUCAGUGGGCGAGGGCGGCUCACUGAGUCUGCCCCCUGAAUGUGUCCCU